ACUGGGCAUGGUGGCCCAUGCCUGUCAUCCCAGCAACUCAGGAGGCUGAGGCAGGAGGAUCAUGAGUUCAAAACCAGCCUCAG
rnacentral:sRNA from 1 species